rnacentral:lncRNA from 1 species
AAUAAUGAAAAUAAAGAGAAUGGGGCUAAGAGAUACUAGACUAAUGGAGUUUGAGCUUUUAAUUUUUUCGCGACUCCGAGGCUCUGCAAUCAUUUUAUUGCUAACCCGUUAAUUGGGAUCGAAAUGGAGCUCCAAUUGAAACUCCAAUUUCCGAGUUCACAUGUAAAAAUAAAAGAAAGAUAAGAAUUAAUAAUCGAUAAACAAAUUCGCACAUUGAGACACAACACAAAAAUGAGUAAACAAAUUAAUUAAUUAAUUAAUUAAAUUUUCAUGGUUAUGGUAUAUGGUCCAUUACUCUAAGUGUUGAUAAGUCUUUAUUUUUUUCCGUUAUUAUAGCAUCAUAAACACACACAUAUAUAUACAAUAUUUUUGCCUGUCCAUCCAUGAUUAGUAAAUGCCCUUAUUCCUAGGGUGAAAGAGAUGCACACUCACUAGAAAACAAGCACGUAAAGCAACAGUAAUAAAAUUUAAAGAGAAACUGUUAAGUGGGAGGAUUUAUUGUCUUGAACAUAUUGGCCAUUUUUAAUUAAAUAAGAAACUUUACUGCCAGGUAGUGUUCAAACAUGCGCAUCAUUCUCAAUAGCAUCUUUGGCCUAGAGGUAUGAGAAAAUAUACAUAUAUAUGGCAAACCAAAGAACAUAAAGUCAUACAGAAGGGCUCUAAAAAGAUAUUGCCAAACUAAAAACAUCUCUUCACGAUUUUAGCUCAGAAUUAUAACCUCGAGGUGUUAAUACAAGAAUUAAAUUUGAUAAUAACAUCAACACAAACUCACAACCGAAAUAAAUCACAUAAGAUCAAAUAUGGGCGGAGCAGGGGAAAAGGACUGAUUUUCACAUCUCCUUGACUUAAACAUAACACAACUAUAUUUUGAAAGAGAGUCAAAAUCAAGAUGAAAUUGUUCAAUUAACUCCAAUUCUUAAAAAUCGGACAGUGAUAUUAAUGGGAUGGCUAUAUACCCCAUAUUUUGACGAACUCGUAUCCUUGGAAGGGCCAAAUAUAUCCUAUGAUACUUUAUAAAUAAGUGCAAAUAAACUAUAUUCAUGGAUUUGAUUUGUGAACAAUGAUUUCAAACUUAGGCUCGAAAAUGAACUCCCUUAUUAACUCAAAAAUGAAUCCCCAUAUUAAUACACUUACAGAAUCAUAUGCACACAAAAUAAACCUUCAUAUCCAAAUCACGCUCAUCGACAAGAUUCCUGAAGGACCAAAAGUCACAACAACCAAGUGAUAUAAAUGAACGUAUAAACUCACAUAUUUAACACCAAAUAAUCUUCAGAUUCACCAACCAUAACUUCUAUUCGCAAGGCCAAUAUAGAAAUAACAACACAGCUCGGAAUCAAAAUAACUCUUAUAUUCGACAGAAUUAAAAAUAGAUGAAGAGUAAAGAAACAAAAACAAAAAUGAGAAAGUUAUGGGUCCACACAUUUUCUGGUGUAGCAAACUGGAACGUUGAUGUCCGGAUAAUUUUCGGCAACCCUAGCUCAACCGAGACACUGACUUUUACGUAAAAACUGAAAAGAAACCAACUGUUGCAAGACCCAAAUUUUGCUUGAAAUUUUCUAGUAUAAGCUACUCUCUCUUUCCCCUUUUUUUAGAUCUUGAACCCCCUUUUCUGAGGAUGAAGAACAUCCUAUUUAUAGGCGAAAUCUGGGCUUGAAAGUCCAGAUUUAAAGCCAAAGAUUGAAGGAUAGCGCAAGAACCGAGGUUGAAUUUGAAUUUCAAAUCCGAAUCUUGAACUUUUCAGAGUUGUGAAGAUGACUUUGAAAUGAUUUCUGGGUUUUUUCACCAAAAUGGUGCCUGAAUUUGCUGGCCAUGUCGAGUUCACAUGUUUGGGGGUCAAAAAAAGAGGAGAUUCUCGUGUGGUAAAGGUGGCAGUCGACUACCAGCUAUGGAGAUAGGUUUUUUCCGAUUUGGUGAUAAUGGAGGAGAGAGCACGGAGGAGAAAGGAGAGGUGGAUCAUUGUUUUUGUUGUUUUGGGAAAGGAGUGAUGGUGACCCGUCUAUGGCACAGGAAGGGGAGUAACAUGCGUGAUUUGAUUUAUUAGGAAAAGAAAAGUAUUGUUGUACUGAUUUUUGAUUGUCCAAUCUUAUGAUAGAACGAUUAAAAAUAGAUAAUAAUAAUCGUAAAGAAAAUAUUUAUAUACAUAUAUAGAGAGACUAGUGUGCCCGUGCCUAUUCUACGCACGGCCGAAGGAAUGUUUGAAGGUAAAACAGUUAUGUUUCAUAAUAUGUGGUUUACCAACUUGCAAAUAUAUUUAACAAGAAUGAAAAAGUGUAAUUAAGUAGUGCGAAAAUAGUAUAGUAUAAAUUAUAUUGAGGAUAUGUUAUAAAUAUUGAAAGAGAUAAUAUGAAAAUAAUGUGUUUGCA